rnacentral:lncRNA from 1 species
UCAUCCAUUAUCUCAUUUAGUUUUGCAGUAGCAGGCACUGGUUUUCCCAGUUUCCCUUUUUCAGAGGCCCAGAGAGGUUAAGUGACUUGCCAAGGUCACACUGUAAGAGGCAGACUUAGGACUCCAACCCCAAACUAGGUUUGCCUUGUGGCAAAACCCGUGCUCUUAACCAUCCCCCGCCAGCCACCCAGAGAUGGGGGGUGACUUGUUGUCAAAGGGGUAAGGGGGGUUAUUAGGGAAACUUCUCACUGUCUCCCACCAUCCCUUCCCAGCCCAGACAGUUGCCGGCACUUUCUGCCCAGUGCUACUUCACAAGGUCAGUGUCCAGCUUCCGAACAGCAUGGAGGCAGCUCUGAGUCAUCCGAAUCCCAGUGGCCUCCACAGGUCAGCUCUCAGGCCAUGACCUGAGGCCACUCAUCCGCUGACUCUUUUACUCCUAGCCUAGCUGGAGGAUGUGCCAGGCUCACCAAGGUACAUGGGAAGGGCCCUGAGGCUGAGCUGCGCUGCUGUCAGCCACAAAGAAUGCUGCUGACUCACAGCAGUGAGGUAGGCAGACGGUGACUCAGGGGUCACACAGGCACAGCCCCUAGGGAGGAGAGGAGAGGGUCUUGUGGUAGGAUGUGGACCAGGCCCCAGCUCAUGGCCUGACAUGCAGUGAGGGCUCUCUCCAUGCCAGUGAUUAUCAUCUUGCUUAAUGACUCAGACUGCCUUCCCCUCAGUGGGCCUUGACCUCCCUGCCUGUGCAUGGAGCAGAUGCAGAGGAUGUCCUAUGAUGGGAUGUCAUCUGUGAUUAAGGUAAUCAAAGCGGGUGAGAACCAGGUGAUGCAAAACCAUGAAUGCCAAUGUGAAGAAUCGAGACUGGACUUUCUGGAGGCCAAAACCCAGACCUGAGAGUUGGGAGUCCUGGGUUCAAGCCCUGCCCUUUACAAGGAUGCACUGAAUGACCUUGGUAAACAUUACCUCGCCUCUCUCAGCCCUGAUUCUUGCGUCUGUCAAAAGCCAGCUUCUAAUGAACAGAGUGUCCCAUCACCAACUUGACUUUGUCUACACUCUGCCUUCUGCCGAGAACGCCCUGGCCACCAUCUCAGCCUCCUGAUUCUUCAAGGGCCUGUUUUCAAAUGCCACUUCCUCAAAAAAGUCUUGCAGAAUCUCCUGUUCAAAAUUAAUCUCUCACAGAUAUUAAAAUGAUGGCACGAAUCUACAUUUGAUGACAUAAAAAAAUGUCCAAAAUAUAUUAAGUGAGAAAAAAGCAGGAGACCAGAAUAAAAUGCAUUUUAAUCUAUAUAUAUGAAUGGAAAUGCAUAGAAAAAAAAAAAGGCCUAGAAGGAUAUAUAUAAAUGUUAACUAUGACAAUCUCUGAGUCAUGGAAAUUAUGUCGGUCUUUAUUUUUCUUAAUAUUUUUUGAGUGUUUCUAAAAUGCAUGCAACAAG